AAGCAGUCAUACCUCAGGCUGACCGUCCCUCUGGGUGGCGAGGACAAGACGGUGUGUGUGUGCUGUCUCUGCUCUCCCGUGCCCACCGGACGAUUAUGCGUUGGUGACACCUGCGACCCCAGGGUAAGCAGCACUGCUAUCAUUUCCACCUUCUCAAUAAGGAAGCGGAGAAGUGAAGUGAAGUAAGCCACCACACGAAGGAGAUGAUUUAAUUAACAGAGCAAAGGCAAAGAAAUUGCAUUUUGGUUGGUCACAGAGGUAACCUGAAAAGAAGCCUGAACUGGACUGUUCCACCCACAUGUUACACUUGUUUAUACACCAGGGUCUUUUUCUUUUAUUAUGUUCAGCAUCUGAGUUCAGCUAUUGAUUCUACAGAGCCUUUUGGAAACAUACAACUAUGCCACCAACACAAAAAAAUCUUGAUAUAUUUCUAACAAGUUGUUUAUCAAUAGCUGCAGGUCUCUCCUAGUUUUCCAAAAUGCCAGUCAUCACACCUUUUUCACAGAGAAGCUGGGCUGGUCUGGGCUAUGAAACACAUUGCUGAAGAGUUUACAGAUACCAGUGAAGAAAUUGAGUACUUCUUGGGAAUGCAAAUUGGUGCAGCUACUCUGAAAAACUGUAUGGAGAUUCCUCAAAAAACUAAACAUA